UACGGAGGGUGCGAGCGUUAUUCGGAAUUACUGGGCGUAAAGCGCGUGUAGGCGGCAGGGCAAGUCUGGUGUGAAAGCCCGGGGCUCAACCCCGGAAGUGCAUUGGAAACUGCUCUGCUUGAGUACCGGAGAGGAAGGGGGAAUUCCCGGUGUAGCGGUGAAAUGCGUAGAUAUCGGGAGGAAUACCAGUGGCGAAGGCGCCCUUCUGGACGGUUACUGACGCUGAGACGCGAAAGCGUGGGGAGCGAACAUG
rnacentral:rRNA from 1 species